UAGACUUUUGCUUGUCCUCAAGCAAAUAAACAUAGUCAAACAAGCUUUCUUUGCUACUUGAUCCUUAUUUCCACUUAAGCUCUUACUCUAGACACCUAUUUUGAAUCAUUGCAGUGAAGAAUAUAUGCAUGAAGAUUACUCACCUUCUUUCCUUAUUUCCCUUUACUUACCAUGGCUAGGAUUUGUUUUCCUCAAGAGAGAUUACACAUGCAC
rnacentral:lncRNA from 1 species